rnacentral:rRNA from 1 species
UUCCGUUUGAUCCUGCCGGAGGUUACUGCUAUCGAGGUUCGACUAAGCCAUGCGAGUCGAAUGUAGCAAUACAUGGCGUACUGCUCAGUAACACGUGGACAACCUGCCCUUGAGACGGGGAUAAACCCGGGAAACUGGGUAUAAUACCCGAUAGAUCUCGACUGCUGGAAUGCAUCGAGAUCGAAAGCUCCGGCGCCGGAGGAUGGGUCUGCGGCCUAUCAGGUAGUAGUGGGUGUAGCGUACCUACUAGCCUACGACGGGUACGGGUUGUGAGAGCAAGAGCCCGGAGAUGGAUUCUGAGACACGAAUCCAGGCCCUACGGGGUGCAGCAGGCGCGAAAACUUUACAAUGCCGGCAACGGCGAUAAGGGGACCUCGAGUGCCAGGUUACAAAUCUGGCUGUCGUGAUGCCUAAAAAGCAUUGCAUAGCAAGGGCCGAGCAAGACCGGUGCCAGCCGCCGCGGUAACACCGGCGGCUCGAGUGGUAACCGUUAUUAUUGGGUCUAAAGGGUCUGUAGCCGGCCAGAUAAGUCUCUUGAGAAAUCUGGCAGCUUAACUGUCAGGCUUUCAGGAGAUACUGUCUGGCUCGAGGCCGGGAGAGGUGAGAGGUUCUUCAGGGGUAGGGGGAAAUCUUGUAAUCCGAAGGACCACCA